rnacentral:rRNA from 1 species
ACCAGACUCCUACGGGAGGCAGCAGUGGGGGAUAUUGCACAAUGGGGGGAACCCUGAUGCAGCGACGCCGCGUGGGUGAAGAAGCGCCUCGGCGCGUAAAGCCCUGUCAGCAGGGAAGAAAAUGACGGUACCUGAAGAAGAAGCCCCGGCUAACUACGUGCCAGCAGCCGCGGUAAUACGUAGGGGGCAAGCGUUAUCCGGAUUUACUGGGUGUAAAGGGGGCGCAGACGGCGAUGCAAGCCAGGAGUGAAAGCCCGGGGCCCAACCCCGGGACUGCUCUUGGAACUGCGUGGCUGGAGUGCAGGAGGGGCAGGCGGAAUUCCUGGUGUAGCGGUGAAAUGCGUAGAUAUCAGGAGGAACACCGGUGGCGAAGGCGGCCUGCUGGACUGCAACUGACGUUGAGGCCCGAAAGCGUGGGGAGCAAACAGGAUUAGAUCCCCCUGUA